rfam:Ictidomys tridecemlineatus contig074494, whole genome shotgun sequence.
GGCAGUGUAGCUCAGUGGGAAAGCAUUGGCCUAGUAUGUGCAAAACCCUGGAUUCAAUCCCCAGCACUGCAA